GGGAAAUUCAAAAAUCGGACGGUUACUGGAACAACGUUAUUUCAUCCUGAAAAACGGACCGUGAUGUGCUUUCGGAGGAAGAAAGAUGGGUCAUCUGUUGGCAUGGGUAAUGGUGGCGGUGAUCAUCAAGAUGGGUACAGCGCGUCGGGGAACCACGAAGGAGUCUCGAGUGUACGGGUGCUCUGGCGGUAGGACACCCCUCGCAACAACCAGGCAGGGGAAUCCAAUGGCCAUCGGACAGUCCCGCUACUUCCAUGAGGGUAUGAAAGAACACAAGCUACAACAACUCAGUUACCCAUGCCCCUCUGGAAUCUUCCUCCACUUCCCUUCCCACUGAUUCCAUCCUUUCCUCGAACCCAACCUGUCAUUUAUUUACCAGACCUUCUGACCGUCUGUUCUCUAAUGCUGAAUGAUAUGUACUCAGCAAAGGACUUGAUUUUAUCCCUCUACGGUCCCACCUAAAUGAAUUUUGGGCAUAACAUUAUGUCAGACUCUUCUUUUGACACCUUCACCUCGAUGUCUAUUUCUUUGAACAGGAGUCUUUUGCCCAUCCUACAGGCCCCUUCACCCGCCUUCCACACUCUUCCCCCACCUGGACCCCUUCUUCUGGUCUCCUACUUACACUUGGCCUGUUCAUUGAGAGCUGUCGAUGUUGACAUGGGUUGCCCUAAUUUCUCUGCUCCCUUCAACCAUUCUAACCUAUCACCACUGAACUUACUGCGCUCCAUGAUCUCAGAACUAACUUUGACUUUGUAAUCAAACCUGCCAACA